rnacentral:rRNA from 1 species
GGGAGGCAGCAGUGGGGAAUAUUGCGCAAUGGGCGAAAGCCUGACGCAGCCAUGCCGCGUGUGUGAAGAAGGCCCUAGGGUUGUAAAGCACUUUCAAUUGGGAAGAAAAGUUGGUCGUUAAUAGCGGCCAGCCCUGACAUUACCUUUAGAAGAAGCACCGGCUAACUCCGUGCCAGCAGCCGCGGUAAUACGGAGGGUGCGAGCGUUAAUCGGAAUUACUGGGCGUAAAGCGCGCGUAGGCGGUUGUCUAAGUCGGAUGUGAAAGCCCCGGGCUCAACCUGGGAACUGCAUUCGAUACUGGGCGACUAGAGUAUGAAAGAGGGAGGUAGAAUUCCAUGUGUAGCGGUGAAAUGCGUAGAUAUAUGGAGGAAUACCAGUGGCGAAGGCGGCCUCCUGGUUCAAUACUGACGCUGAGGUGCGAAAGCGUGGGGAUCAAACAGGACUAGAUACCCUGGUAGUCCACGCCGUAAACGAUGUCUACUAGCCGUUGGGAGACUUGAUUUCUUAGUGGCGCAGCUAACGCACUAAGUAGACCGCU